rnacentral:SRP_RNA from 1 species
GCUGGGCAUGGUGGCGCAUGCCUGUAAUCCCAGCUACUCAGGAGGCUGAGGCAGGAGAAUUGCCUGAACCCAGGAGGCGGAGGUUGCGGUGAGCCAAGAUCACGCCACUGCACUCCAGCCUGGGUGACAGAGGGAGACUCUGUCUCGAAGAAAAGAAAAAAAAAUUAGCCAGGUGUGGUGGGGCAUGCCUGUGGUCCCAGGUACUCGGGAGGCUAAGAGGAGAGGACUGCCUAAGCGUAGGAGGUCAAGGCUGCAGUGAGCUAUGAUUGUACCACUGCACUCCAGCCUGGGUAACACAGUGAGACCCUGUCUUAA